ensembl:snoRNA
UGGAUAAGUGAUGAGCAUUUGUUGUGUAUGAGCCGUGGAUCAUGACUACAGGUCUGGAAGUCUGAGCUCCAU